UCCGUAGGCGGGCAGCUCAGUCAGUGGUGAAAGUUUGCAGCUCAACUGCAAAAUUGCCAUUGAUACUGGUUGUCUUGAAUUAAUGUGAAGUGGUUAGAAUAUGUAGUGUAGCGGUGAAAUGCAUAGAUAUUACAUGGAAUACCAAUUGCGAAGGCAGAUCACUAACAUUAUAUUGACGCUGAUGGACGAAAGCGUGGGGAGCGAACAGGAUUAGAUACCCUGGUAGUCC
rnacentral:rRNA from 1 species